rnacentral:rRNA from 1 species
GAUGAACGCUAGCGGCAGGCCUAACACAUGCAAGUCGAGGGGGAAGUUACUUUCGGGUGACUGAGACCGGCGUACGGGUGCGUAACGCGUAUACAAUCUGCCUUUCACUGGGGGAUAGCCCGAAGAAAUUUGGAUUAAUACCCCAUAGUAUAGUAGUGUGGCAUCACACGACUAUUAAAGCUACGGUGGUGAAAGAUGAGUAUGCGUUCUAUUAGCUAGUUGGAGAGGUAACGGCUCCCCAAGGCGAUGAUAGAUAGGGGUUCUGAGAGGGAUGUCCCCCACACUGGUACUGAGAUACGGACCAGACUCCUACGGGAGGCAGCAGUGAGGAAUAUUGGACAAUGGUCGGAAGACUGAUCCAGCCAUGCCGCGUGCAGGAUGACGGCCUUAUGGGUUGUAAACUGCUUUUGUAAGGGAAGAAUAAGGACUACGUGUAGUUUGAUGACGGUACCUUAUGAAUAAGCAUCGGCUAACUCCGUGCCAGCCGCCGCCGUAACAC